AGAGUUUGAUCAUGGCUCAGGACGAACGCUGGCGGCGUGCUUAACACAUGCAAGUCGAGCGGAAAGGCCACUUCGGUGGUACUCGAGCGGCGAACGGGUGAGUAACACGUGAGUAAUCUGCCCUUCACUUCGGGAUAGCCCUGGGAAACUAGGAUUAAUACCGGAUAUGACGACCGUCUGCAUGGACUGGUUGUGGAAAGUUUUUUCGGUGGAGGAUGUGCUCGCGGCCUAUCAGCUUGUUGGUGGGGUAAUGGCCUACCAAGGCUUCGACGGGUAGCCGGCCUGAGAGGGUGACCGGCCACACUGGGACUGAGACACGGCCCAGACUCCUACGGGAGGCAGCAGUGGGGAAUAUUGGACAAUGGGCGGAAGCCUGAUCCAGCAACGCCGCGUGAGGGAUGACGGCCUUCGGGUUGUAAACCUCUUUCAGUAGGGACGAAGCGCAAGUGACGGUACCUACAGAAGAAGCACCGGCCAACUACGUGCCAGCAGCCGCGGUA
rnacentral:rRNA from 1 species